UACGGAGGGUGCGAGCGUUGUCCGGAAUCACUGGGCGUAAAGGGCGCGUAGGCGGCCUGAUAAGUAGGGGGUGAAAUCCUGCGGCUUAACCGCAGGGCUGCCUUCUAAACUGUCAGGCUCGAGCACAGUAGAGGCAGGUGGAAUUCCCGGUGUAGCGGUGGAAUGCGUAGAGAUCGGGAAGAACACCAGUGGCGAAGGCGGCCUUCUGGACCAAUACUGACGCUCAUGCACGAAAGCGUGGGGAGCAAACAGG
rnacentral:rRNA from 1 species